rnacentral:tRNA from 3 species
GGAGAGGUGGCCGAGCGGCUGAAGGCGCUCCCCUGCUAAGGGAGUAUGGGUUGAAAGCCCAUCGAGGGUUCGAAUCCCUCCCUCUCCGCCA